rnacentral:rRNA from 1 species
AUGGCCUCCGAGCAAUCGUCGCCAUCUCCAUCGCCGCCGCCGCCUGCUCCCACCACCGUAAUCGAUCUCGGCGACGAUCUCCUCCGCGAAAUCUUCCUCCGCCUCCCCUCCCUCCCGAGCCUCGUCCGCGCCGCCCUCAGCUGCCGCACCUUCCUCAGCGCCGUCCGCUCGUCCCCCGUCUUCCGCCGCAGCUUCCGCGCGGCCCACCCACCCCCUCUCCUCGGCUUCUUCUUCGACCCCGACGGCCCCGCCAUCCCUGCCUUCGCCCCCGUCCGCCGCCGCUCCGACCCUGACCUCGCAGCCGCCGUCCGCGGCGCCGAUUUCUUCUUCACCCGCCUCCCCGACGACGACGACGCCUCCCCUGGGUGGUUCGUGUGCGACUGCCGGGGAGGCUACGUGCUCCUCUGCAACGGAAGGACGGGGCAGUUCGCAGCCUACAACCCCCUCACAGGGGCCCUGGAUCUUGUCCCUCCGACGCCCGACGAGUUCUUCGACGACGGCCACGGCCUUACCUCGCACCUCGAUUGCUUCAUCCUCGCCUCCGAAGAGGGCGACGGGCCGUUCCGCCUUGUCACUAUCUGUCACGACGAGUCGCGGGCGCGCGCCGCCGUCUUCUCGUCAGAUAGCAGGGAGUGGCGGAUCUUCCCGUGGUCUGAGGCUGUGGAGCCACUGCCUGAAGACGAACACUGGCUUAAAGUUGGCACGAUGGUGAAUGGGUUCAUCUAUUGGAUACAAGCAAAUGAAGCCGGCUUGCUCGUGCUGAACACCGCAACGCUACAUUUCUCUCGGAUGGAUCUGCCACCAUUCUUGGAAGGGAAAAUUCACCUUGUGUGGCCUGGGGAGGCCAAGGAUGGGAGGCUUUGUAUCGUUUGCCCAGUUGACUUUGGUAUCCAUGUUUGGUUCUGGCGAGCUGAUGAGGACGGCUUCGAGAGAUGGAUGCUAGAGAAGAAGUUUCAGUUAGAGUUAAAGUCGAUUGUUGAGGCCACUGGGGGCUCACUAGAAGAUGUUGAGCUGCAUAUUGUGGAUACUAUUGAUGGGUUUGUGUACUUCUCUACUGGUGAAACGUUCCAUAAUGUUCAUGUUCCUUCGUGGUUCCUGUCUUUAUGCAUGGAGACGGCGAAGCUGGACAUGCUCUUUCAGAAGAGAUGUGACAGCCAUGUCCGGCCCUGCAUCAUGCCAUGGCCUCCCUCUUUGGUAAAUAAUAAGUUGUGCCCUCUACUUGAAGGAGAAGGUGCUUGA